rnacentral:lncRNA from 1 species
AGACCGCAGCACCCAUUAGAAAUCUGUUUGUCACGUUAGGAUUUCUGUUUUCCACCCAGAGAGUGGAAGGAUCCAAAAAAAUUAGUAGGAGUCAUUGUUUGUAUCUUAAAAUCUCUAAAAGAAAAUAUAAUUUUAAAAAGUACAAAAAUCUAAUUUAAAUCUCUACUCUUAUAGUUAAACAAUGUCAGCCUCAAACCCUCUAGUCCGUACCCUUGAAUCAAAUC